UUCUUCGUAGCUCAGUGGUAGAGCGAUCGGCUGUUAACCGAUUAGUCGCAGGUUCGAGUCCUGCCGAAGAAG
rnacentral:tRNA from 1 species